rfam:Porphyromonas sp. CAG:1061 genomic scaffold, scf250
UGAGUCCGAAAGCGUGCCGCUGGUGUAGCGUGCUACACGAGAGGAAAGUCUGGGCCACAAAGAGCACUACACUUCCUAACGGGAAGCUAUCGUGAGGUAGAUGAGCAUAACAGAAAAUAACCGCCACGUGGCUUUGCACUGAGUGCAAACUUCACAGGUAAGGGUGAAAAGGUGGGGUAAGAGCCCACCGAGCUGAUAGUGAUAUCGAGCUGCAGUAUGCAUUGUGGGUGGAAAGGUCGCGUAUACCAGCGCUUGUAGGGUGGCUCGCCCGAUGCUGGGGGGUAGACCGAUAGAGCCUAGGGGUGACUCUAGGUCUAGAUAGAUGGCAAGCAGCCUAAUCCCUAGGGAGAAGGCAGACAGAACCCGGCUUAUUGAGGACUCAUACG